rnacentral:rRNA from 1 species
GACGAACGCUGGCGGCGUGCUUAACACAUGCAAGUCGAACGGAAAGGCCCUGCUUUUGUGGGGUGCUCGAGUGGCGAACGGGUGAGUAACACGUGAGUAACCUGCCCUUGACUUUGGGAUAACUUCAGGAAACUGGGGCUAAUACCGGAUAGGAGCUCCUGCUGCAUGGUGGGGGUUGGAAAGUUUCGGCGGUUGGGGAUGGACUCGCGGCUUAUCAGCUUGUUGGGGGGGUAGUGUCUUACCAAGGCUUUGACGGGUAGCCGGCCUGAGAGGGUGACAGGCAAAGUGGGGAGUGAGAUGCGGCCCGGCACACGCCGGGAGGGGAGGGGGGGGUAUAGAGACAGAUGGGGGGGGGGCGAGUGCGAUAGCGCCGGGGGGGGGGAGAGGGCUUGGGGUUAGUGAACCGUUUCCGCCUGGGACGGGGUGGGAGUGACGGUAGUGGGAAAAGAAGCCCCGGCUAACUACGUG